rnacentral:rRNA from 1 species
AGAGCGAACGCUGGCGGCAGGCUUAACACAUGCAAGUCGAACGGAUCCUUCGGGAUUAGUGGCGGACGGGUGAGUAACACGUGGGAACGUGCCUUUUGGUUCGGAACAACUCAGGGAAACUUGAGCUAAUACCGGAUGUGCCCUUCGGGGGAAAGAUUUAUCGCCAUUAGAGCGGCCCGCGUCUGAUUAGCUAGUUGGUGAGGUAAAGGCCCACCAAGGCUACGAUCAGUAGCUGGUCUGAGAGGAUGACCAGCCACAUUGGGACUGAGACACGGCCCAAACUCCUACGGGAGGCAGCAGUGGGGAAUCUUGCGCAAUGGGCGAAAGCCUGACGCAGCCAUGCCGCGUGAAUGAUGAAGGUCUUAGGAUUGUAAAAAUUCUUUCACCGGGGACGAUAAUGACGGUACCCGGAGAAGAACGCCCGGCUAACUUCGUGCCAGCAGCCGC